UUCAGGGCCUCAAACAAUGAGAUAGUGACGGCGGUAAUUCUCCCGUGAAAUACAAAGGUAAGCUGCUGGGUUGAACGCCUAUAAUUGAGCUAGGCCUUCCCGCUAUUCCUUCGACAGCGAGUUGCACAGAAGCUGUCUGGGAAGACCGUGCGCUGAAGGAGUCCACGUCGCCUGCCGGGAACAGGAGUACCAAGGAACAUGUUGCGAGCCACUCUGUUUGUCGUCAUACUUUGUGGUGCGGUGCUUUGUAGGAGUACGGGCUUGAAAGGAUCGCCUGAAUGCGUCAAGCCAGAUUGUUCCACACACCGAAAUGGACAGAAUAUGAGUUGUACGAACCCAUGCGAGGGAUACUUCUGCAAGGAUGGACGUCUCAUGACCCUCAAGUGCAUAGGAGCGGACGACCCACUCUGCGACGCUCCUUACGGUGGGACUGGACCGUAUCCUGAUUGCUGUGGUCCAGUGAGGUGCAGAAAAUCCUCAGGAAAGGGCAGAUUUCGAAGGCCUUGAAUGACUUCGAGACCUCGGUCUGAAGAAAACCGGAAGGAUACAAGUUCACAUUGACUGAGCACAGGCGACUAAGAGGGAGCGCAAGGAAGUUUCAGGAAAAAAUCAGACAGUUCCAUA
rnacentral:lncRNA from 1 species